rnacentral:rRNA from 1 species
AUCUACGGCUAUGCCACACUGAACGUGCCUGAUCUCAUCUGAUCGUGCCCAAUCUCAUCUGAUCUCAGAAGCUAAGCAGGAUUGGGCCUGAUUCUUGGAUGGGAGACCAUGUAGGAAUACCAGAUGCUGUAGGCA